rnacentral:lncRNA from 1 species
AUUCCUGGGACCUGUGGUCAUAUUCUCUUACACGCAGAAGGGACGGACGGACCCUGCAUUGUGAUUAAGGUUUGGAAGCAAGAAGAAGGGAGCCACGAGCUGAAGAGUCUGAGUGGCCUUCCAGGAGCCUCCAGAGAGAAUGCGGCCCUGCUUGUCAUCUUGCUUUUAGCCUCUGGGACCCAAGCUGCACUUCUUCCCUUCAGAGUGAAGCGGUUCCUGAGACAAGGAUUUAAGAGCAGAAGUUUAUUUGGAAGGUGACCCCGGAUGCACUUGUGGGAGAGGAGACAGUGAAAACAGAGAGGAAAAGAAAAUCAAG